rnacentral:rRNA from 1 species
AGAGUUUGAUCAUGGCUCAGAUUGAACGCUGGCGGCGUGCCUAACACAUGCAAGUCGAGCGGUAACAGGUGUAGCAACACAUGCUGACGAGCGGCGAACGGGUGAGUAAUGCUUCGGAAUCUGCCCAAUGGUGGGGAAUAACCAGCCGAAAGGUUGGCUAAUACCGCAUAAGCCCUACGGGGGAAAGCAGGGGAUCGUAAGACCUUGCGCCGAUGGAUGAGCCGAAGCCGGAUUAGCUAGUUGGUAGGGUAACGGCCUACCAAGGCGACGAUCCGUAGCUGGUCUGAGAGGACGACCAGCCACACUGGGACUGAGACACGGCCCAGACUCCUACGGGAGGCAGCAGUGGGGAAUAUUGGACAAUGGGGGAAACCCUGAUCCAGCGACGCCGCGUGUGUGAAGAAGGCCUGCGGGUUGUAAAGCACUUUUAGUGGGGAUGAAAAGCUCAGGACUAAUACCUCUGGGUCUUGACCUAACCCACAGAAAAAGCACCGGCUAACUCUGUGCCAGCAGCCGCGGUAAUACAGAGGGUGCGAGCGUUAAUCGGAAUUACUGGGCGUAAAGCGUGCGUAGACGGUUAUGUAAGUCGGGUGUGAAAGCCCCGGGCUCAACCUGGGAAUUGCAUUCGAGACUGCAAAGCUAGGGUGCGGAAGAGGGAAGCGGAAUUUCAGGUGUAGCGGUGAAAUGCGUAGAUAUCUGAAGGAACACCAGUGGCGAAAGCGGCUUCCUGGUCCAGCACCGACGUUCAGGCACGAAAGCGUGGGGAGCAAACAGGAUUAGAUACCCCCGUAGUCC